UGCCAGCAGCCGCGGUAAUACGGAGGGGGUUAGCGUUGUUCGGAAUCACUGGGCUUAAAGCGUGCGCAGGCGGACUAGAAAGUCAGAAGUGAAAUCCCAGGGCUCAGCCCUGGAACUGCUUUUGAAACUCCUAGUCUAGAAUCCGGGAGGGGUAAGGAGAAUUCCUAGUGUAGAGGUGAAAUUCGCAGAUAUUAGGAGGAAUACCAGUGGCGUAGGCGCCUUACUGGACCGGUAUUGACGCUCAUGUACGAAAGCGUGGGGAGCAAACAGGAUUAGAUA
rnacentral:rRNA from 1 species